rnacentral:rRNA from 1 species
AACGAACGCUGGCGGCAGGCCUAACACAUGCAAGUCGAACGCCCUAGCAAUAGGGAGUGGCAGACGGGUGAGUAACACGUGGGAACCUUCCCUAUAGUAUGGAAUAGCCCAGGGAAACUUGGAGUAAUACCGUAUACGCCCGAGAGGGGAAAGAUUUAUCGCUAUAGGAUGGGCCCGCGUAGGAUUAGCUAGUUGGUGAGGUAAUGGCUCACCAAGGCGACGAUCCUUAGCUGGUCUGAGAGGACGACCAGCCACACUGGGACUGAGACACGGCCCAGACUCCUACGGGAGGCAGCAGUGGGGAAUAUUGGACAAUGGGCGCAAGCCUGAUCCAGCCAUGCCGCGUGAGUGAUGAAGGCCUUAGGGUUGUAAAGCUCUUUUGCCGGGGACGAUAAUGACGGUACCCGGAGAAUAAGUCCCGGCUAACUUCGUGCCAGCAGCCGCGGUAAGCUGUAGUCGU